rnacentral:rRNA from 1 species
UACGGGGGGGGCAAGCGUUGUUCGGAAUUACUGGGCGUAAAAGGGCUCGUAGGCGGCCAACUAAGUCAGACGUGAAAUCCCUACGGCUUGAACCGGGGAACCUGCGUCUGAUACUGGAGUGGCUUGAGAUUGGGAGAGGGAGUGCGGAAUUCCCGGUGUAGCGGUGAAAUGCGUAGAUAUCAGGAGGAACACCGGUGGUGUAGACGGCUCACUGGACCAUAACUGACGCUGAGACACGAAAGCGUGGGUAGCAAACAGG